CAGCUCCUGCCUCCAGGUCCCUGCCCUGUUUGAGUUCCUGCCGUGACUGCCUUGGAUGAUGAACUGUGAUGUGGAAGAGCGAAUGAAACAAACCCUUUCCUCAAGGUGCCUGUGAUCAUACUUCACACAGUAACAGAAGCCCUAAGCACCUGAGGCGAUCAACUCACAAGGAGAUAAGGGGCUGCGAUGAGGCAACACAUGACCAUUGGCUAUCACUGGAGCAGAGGUUGUUACGAGCGUGCUGUCGCCAUGUCACUGGAACCUCAUUGACACAGAGGAUCAACGUGUUCCCAAGACCGGUCUUUCCUGGCCACCGGAUUGCCUCCUAACAUCCCUCUCCUAGCCUAACCACAUCAGGAGUGGCAGCGGCCCUGCCCUUAGCCUUCCGCUCCUGGUAAAUUGCGCUGUUCCUGGUUGGUACUGAAUAGUUCCACUCUUCUGGUUUAGCUCUUUGAAAUAAAGGGCUGUGUCCCUUCACCUGUCAUGUCUUAUAAAGGAAAGAACAGGGAGAGAAGUGAAAACAUUUUCCAUGGCAUUUCCGAGCAGUCCCUAGCUGGGACUCAUAAAAGCGGGAGCCAAGCAUGGGAAGGAAGUGUGGUUUUCUGAGCUUUGCUGAAUAGAGGGAAUUUCUCUUGUGGGGCAACUUGCUUGGAACUAGAGAGAGGUGCAGCUGAGACACAUGAUUCUCAUUACCACCUCCAGCCUUUCCGACAGGACACAGAAAUAACUGGACACACUCUGUUUUAAUUGUGAUCCUUCAGCUUUAAAGAAAUGACCAGUGGGAACCUGCAAGCCGCUACAGAGCUCCAUUUUACAUUCCCUGGUUUCAGCCUGGUGUGGAUUUCCUUCAGCAGGGACAUGGUCACAGCCACAAUUGCUGCUUGUUGUUACAGCCCUAAGAUUUUCACCCAAACCCACAUGAACCCAUUUAUCUCUGUGUGUUUCUCUGCAUAUACUCUCCUCGCUUGGUACCUUUAUCCUUUUAGGGUACAUAGGGACAGUUAUAUUUCCUCAACCCCUCCUGGAACAGAGAAACAGGGGCAGGAGCCUCAUGGCGAAUGACCGUAGAGAGUGGAGCACACUCAGUGCCUGGAACGGCUUCCCAACCUGUCUGGAGUUCUACCCUCAGGAAUAGUCAUGGAUGUUGGAAAGUGCUUCAUGUCAGGACACAGGCUCGGGUGAAACCCAACAGCACAGGUGACAGUGAGACCCCACAGCUGAACUUCAGCAGAGCCCGAUCCCUCCCUCCCUUCCUUCCUGUCAGUGGCAACAGAGAUGAAGACACACAGAGUUCCACGUGUCAGGUACAGCAGCCUGGGGCAUUCGUUCCUUUGGUCUUAUAGGGACCUUGACUCAGGAAACAGAGAAGUGGCGUGGGGACCCCAGCACCCAUGAAGUUCCGGUCUCUGGACUCCCUGAAGACAGCCUACACAGAGCAAGAGCUGAGCCGGCUUUCUUCGGGAGCCAAGAGGAUAAACAGAACGUGCGCGAUUGGUGCUGUAGCCACGAUUCCCAUUACAAAACAAAAUCAGAUGAGAGAGGACAGCGCCCCAGUGCUUUGCUGGCUGAGUUACUCCACAGUCACAUGCCAUCUUCCCGCUCCCCCUAGUUCCACAUUUCUUAAAGAAGUCAUCUUGGUACACGCUCUAGUUUCGCUUCUGUUGCUCCGACAGACGCCGAUGAAAAGCAACGCAGAGGAGGAAAUGGCUUGUUUGUGUCACAAUUCCAGGUUACAGUCCGUCCUUUCGAGGAGCUCAGGCAGGAACUCGGGCAGCUCUUAGUGCCACAUAUGCAUUUGAAGGACAGAGAGAAACAAAUGUUUUCACGCUGUCUCCUGGCUUCUGUUAGCCCGCUCGCUUCACUCUUACCGUUCAGAGCCCAGCACAUGGGACGGUGACCCCACUUUUAGGGUGGUUUUCCUACAUCAAUUAACAAUCAAGACAACCCCGGCAGACUCCUUGUGGGGCAGCGUCCUCUAGGAUGUCCCUCAUUCAGACUCUCUUCUGGGUGACUCUAGGUUGUGGCAAGUUGAUAUUUAAAACUAGCCAGUACAGUAUGGAACCAGAGCACGGUUUAGUUGGUUCCUUUAUGUAAAUAAAAGUGUGAAGCACACACACACACACACACACACACCUACACAUCAAGACACAAACAGCAAAGCAUUCCUGGGUCGUAAAACAAAAUACAGAGAUUUAAGUUGA